rnacentral:lncRNA from 12 species
GGCAUCAGCAUCAACUGGGAACUUGUUGGCCAUGCAGAUUCUCAGGCCCCAUCCCAGACCUACUGAGUGAAAGUCUGCAUCUUAAAAAGAUCCCCCUGUGGUCUUUGGGCACAGUGAAGUUUGCGAGUUACUGUGGUUUUGAAACAUACAAGAUAUAACACAGUGUAUCAGGGGCUACACAUUCAAAUCACUAGGGCAAUCCCACCCCAGGCCAGUUAAAUCAGAUUCUUUAGGAGUUGGGCUCAGGUAUUGGCAUUUUCAAAAAGGUCCACAAUGUGCAGCCAGAUGUUGGAUGCCCCAUGUGAAUGUGGGAAUAUUGCUCUGUUGAUAGGAGUUCUGAAGUAGUUGGCCCUGAGGGGGGGACAAUUAAACAAGUUCAUUAGUGGUUUAGAAGAGUGAGUGUAGGACAUACGGGUUCCAUCUGCCAGGGGUGGGGAAUUGCACAAAAUGGAGAGCUAACCUCUUGAAACCCACCAGGACUGAAAUGUUAAGUGACCAUGACAAGAGGGGAGAAAGUGUGAAAGCUAGUCGCCUAGAAUGUCCAUCCUAACACAUCAGAAGAGUAUCCAGAGGUCAAAGUGAACUGCCUGUGAACAGUGGUCCAGCGAAGGAGGGUGGUGAUUAGAAAGCAAAGAAGAAUCAGACCUGUGACAUGUGGGGAGCAAGAAAUCACAGAGCUACCGUUCCCCGGUACUUGGUAUGGUUAGGAUUUUUAUAUAGAUUUCCCCAGUUUGGUUGCUGGUGCUGACAUGCAGUUAUGGUUAACUUUGGGUACUUUCAGAGGACAUGAAUAAAUAUCCAGCAUGGAACAAACUAAAAAAGGUUGAUUUUAUCUAGCAUGUUGAAAAGAAGACAAAGGGGAGAGCUUAACAUUUUUCACUUAUACAGUAAAGAUGGCGAUUAACUGAUCUCUUGCAUCAGCAGGAAAGAAGAAGAAAGAAGAUUCUGAUAAAAUAUGAGGAAGGUGUGAAAAGGUGUAUGAGGAAAGGAAUCUACAUAUGCUAUUAUUGCUUUGGGGCCCUGGAGACAAAAAUGAAGCUGAAUAAUAUAUCUGGAAUGCCAAGCCUCCCCAUAAAGGGCCCAGUGGUGAUGUGUACCCUCCUCUCUCUGAAUCAAAGGAAGGAAGUAAUGUCUGUUCCCAUACUCACCAUAAGCUCUGCUGGAUAUUUUCACAUGAAUGGCAUGGUGGGAUGAUGAAGAUGGUGAUGUUGAUGUUGAUGAUGGUCACAGCUCUUGAGUUCUUACCAUGGAUAUAGGAGAGCUUUAUAUACCAACAACACAAUGCGUGGGUCCCUCUUUUACAUAUGAGGAAAUAAUCCUGGAGAGGUAAGUAACUUGGCUGAGGUCACACAGCUAGCAAGUCAUGGAAUCGAGAUUCAUAGUUCCAGACAUGAUUAUUUGAUAAUUUAAUGAAGACCAGGGAGCAUCUUACUGAAUAAAAUAGAUGUUUAGCCUUAAUUUCCUCCUCUG